rnacentral:rRNA from 1 species
CCCACGGAAUUACCGGUGCUAUUCAUACAGUACCUUCAACACCCUUCACGAAAGGUGGUUUAUUCCUGUAUAAAAGCAGUUUACAACCCAUAAGGCCGUCUUCCUGCACGCGGGAUGGCUGGAUCAGGCUCUCACCCAUUGUUCCAAUAUUCCUCACUGCUGCCUCCCGUAGG